rnacentral:rRNA from 1 species
UACGAGGGGGGCAAGUGUUGUUCGGAAUCACUGGGCGUAAAGGGUCCGUAGGCGGUGUAGCAAGUCGAUAGUGAAAUCUCUGGGCUUAACCCAGAGGCUGCUAACGAAACUGCUGUGCUAGAGUGUGAGAGAGGCGAGUGGAAUUACGGGUGUAGCGGUGAAAUGCGUAGAUAUCCGUAGGAACAUCCGAGGCGAAGGCGGCUCGCUGGAUCACAACUGACGCUGAGGGACGAAAGCUAGGGGAGCAAACAGG